rnacentral:tRNA from 1 species
AGCUCAAUUGGAUAGAGCUUGUGGCUGUUAACCACAAGGUCGGAGGUUCUACCACUCCUUC